GAUGAACGCUGGCGGCGUGCCUAAUACAUGCAAGUCGAGCGAACAGAUGAGGAGCUUGCUCCUCUGACGUUAGCGGCGGACGGGUGAGUAACACGUGGAUAACCUACCUAUAAGACUGGGAUAACUUCGGGAAACCGGAGCUAAUACCGGAUAAUAUAUUGAACCGCAUGGUUCACUAGUGAAAGACGGUUUUGCUGUCACUUAUAGCUGGAUCCGCGCCGCAUUAGCUAGUUGGUAAGGUAACGGCUUACCAAGGCAACGAUGCGUAGCCGACCUGAGAGGGUGAUAGGCCACACUGGAACGAAGACACGGUCCAGAAUCCUACGGGAGGCAGCAGUAGGGAAUCUUCCGCAAUGGGCGAAAGCCUGACGGAGCAACGCCGCGUGAGUGAUGAAGGUCUUCGGAUCGUAAAACUCUGUUAUUAGGGAAGAACAAAUGUGUAAGUAACUAUGCACGUCUUGAAGGUACCUAAUCAGAAAGCCACGGCUAACUACGUG
rnacentral:rRNA from 1 species